rnacentral:rRNA from 1 species
GACGAACGCUGGCGGCGUGCUUAACACAUGCAAGUCGAACGGAAAGGCCCUGCUUUUGUGGGGUGCUCGAGUGGCGAACGGGUGAGUAACACGUGAGUAACCUGCCCUUGACUUUGGGAUAACUUCAGGAAACUGGGGCUAAUACCGGAUAGGAGCUCCUGCUGCAUGGUGGGGGUUGGAAAGUUUCGGCGGUUGGGGAUGGACUCGCGGCUUAUCAGCUUGUUGGUGGGGUAGUGGCUUACCAAGGCUUUGACGGGUAGCCGGCCUGGGAGGGUGACCGGCCACAUGGGGACUGAGAUAGGGACCAGACUCCUACGGGAGGCAGCAGUGGGGAAUAUUGCGCAAUGGGCGGAAGCCUGAUGCAGCAACGCCGCGUGCGGGAUGACGGCCUUCGGGUUGUAAACCGCUUUCGCCUGUGACGAAGCGUGAGUGACGGUAAUGGGUAAAGAAGCACCGGCUAACUACGUG